UGAAAACCAGAAAUCCUAAUUGAAACUUGAUAUGGAAAAUCACUUAUUUUGGCUGUGGUUCCACCGACGAUCCUUGACAGUAAACUUGCACCUUUUUUGGGGAAAAAACGCAAUUGGUAUAAUUUUAAGGGGAUAUCAGUGGUUUUCAUAAUCAACGUUUGGAUAUCAAAGAACCUGAUAUUUACACAGUGAUGUAAUUAUGGAUCCAAUCAACGUAGCUGUACACGCGUGUAAAAACAUCGGGUCUUCCCCUGGCACAUGGGGUACCCCAGGAAACAAUACCAAUCUGUACAUCGUCUGCGACCAGAGGUCCACCAGAGUCUCCCUACGGUAUGCUGUUAUGUUAUCAGUGAGACACUAGUUGAACCACCAUUGUCAUCUAUCAUGGAAGUUUUGGAAUUGAACAAUGAAAACUUACAGUCGUGGUUCCCCAGCCUGAUAACACAGCUGGAUAAUCCGACUUGCUGAAGUCCGUCGUAGGAAGUUUAACAGGUGCAACCUUAUCUCCAAAAAUAAUAUCCUUAUCGACCUCGAUCAAGCCAACAUCAUUUCUAAUUAAUGCAGCACUAUACUUGGGAUGUGACACUAUACGUUUUGACUGAUAACUAUCACCACCCUCAUCCAAGAUAGACAGUGAGCAGCUGUCAAUAUCCAACGUUCGGUUAGAAUUGAUCCUCCACAAAAAUGACGGUCAUUCAAACGCAGUGACACUUGAUAUGGAUAUUGUCCAUCUUCUGCAGCUGCACCACCUACGAUUUUACCCUCGUCGAAAUUUUCAUCUGAAAAUUAAAUAUUAAGUUGUUGUAUUAAGUCAUAUGAAAUUCUGCUAAAAUUUAUCUGAUAUUGGCACCUGCUAAUAUUAAGGGUAUGAGGAUAGUGAUAAUAUUAAAAAAUGAUAAAAACAUUGUUUCACGAGAAAGAGACUAUUGGAAUGUGAUUAAACAUUCGGAAGGAAUUAUUUGAGGUGUACUCAGAUAUUUUGUGUAUUUAUAGACUGACAUUUUCUAACGAUUAGGAUAAAUUACGUGUCCCGUAGAGCAUACUUAAAUUUAGGUCAGAUAACUGCCAGGUGGGAGGUUCCUGUGUAUUUAAAAAUAUAUGAAUUAUUAAUUCAACGUCUCUGCGAUAACAGUUGAUAUUUACAUUUCUAAUCACAGCUUAUGCUUGGAAUAUUUAUGAUGUUAGAAUUCCGUGAAGCUGUUUCUUUUUUGGUUAAUGAUAUUUUUUAUCUACUUUUGAUUAAUUACUAUUUCUACUUACUAUUAGCUCGGUUCGUUUUCCGUUCUAUAAUUGGACUCCUAUUAAUCGAUGCUUGAUAUCGAAACAAGAAUUAAAGAUUAAAUAAAGAUUGGGAAGAUUCUGUUCA